CCCUCCACCUCAUCUACCGCCGCCGGCGGGAGCUCUUCCCCAUGCCCUCCACCUCAUCUACUGCCGCCGAAGGGAGCUCUUCCCCAUGCCCUCCACCUCAUCUACCGGCGUCGGAGGGAGCUCUUCCCCAUGCCCUCCACCUAACUCUUACCGCCGCUGGAGGGAGCUCCGCUGCUCUCCUGCCGCACGCCGCUCCUCUUUCCCCAAGGCGAUGGAAAUCACAAAACCGGGACACACCAGACCAGGGGCUCCUCGAUCGCUGCUUGGGUCAUCGGUGGCGGUGUUGGCGAUGAAGGAUGGGGGCGGCGAUGCCGUUGGAGUCUUGGAAAAGCAGCUUGGGCAGAGUGGAUAGGGUGGCUAGGUUGAUAGGUUGGCCUCCUCCAGCAGCCUCUCUUCGCCACGCUUCAGCUCCGGCCCCUCGCUUGCCGCCGCCUGCGACGCUGGUGUUCUGCUCGCCUGCGAGGUGUUCUAUCAAUUGACCAAACCGAGCCAAGUCUGAGCAUGGAAAAUGGUCACGUACUUUCCUUCCCGAGCAGUACAGUACUACGCCAGAAGCGAUGUCGGCCGAACAGGCGAAGAGGAAAGAGGCCACAGAAGGAUUCUUGCGUCCCAAAUGUCAGUUUCAGGUUCACGGGCAGGAUGGUGGAUUCGUUCUUCGAUGGCCAGACUAUCCAUGUCAAGCGACGGCAUGAGAAGAGCUCCGGGGAGGUUGUCAUGUGCCGGUGCAUCUCACCUUCAAGCACAUGCCGCAGACUCCGGCUGUUCUUUCUUUGCUGGAUGUUCGGCGCGCUGAUGCUGCAUGGAAGCAUUUGAAGCGGAAAAAAAAAAUCUUCACAUACCUUCCUGUGUGGGAGUAUUAUGCCCGUUCAACAAGUAGAAGACCGAGCCUCUCCAGCAAGGUUUUCAAUAUUAAGGGGGAAAUCUGAAGGUGUAUAAGGUAAACACACAGAGCUCUAGAUACAUUUAGUAAAAAAAAAUCUUUAUAUCUUGCAUUAUAAUUACACAUGGGAAAUACGGAUGAGGUGCCUGAUGUCAGCUACAAUCACAGAUCUAAGAAUCACCUUUUUAAAUGUAAUUGAUAAAAUGAUCAAAGAGUAACUGUGUGACCCACUACGUAGAGAAAGUUUAAGAACGACACACCUAGGAUUAACCCUGAAUGUUAUCAAGUUCAGGUAUUACCAUUAUUGUAUAGAUUCAAGCAGUGUACUGUAGUUACCAUGACACACAUAUUCACGAGGGAAGUUUUUGUGAAGCAGUAGCAUAGGAUACUUUCCUUCAGCGUGGUUCAGACUUGUGUAAAAUCCUACAGGAGAGAAAGGACGACUGGGUCUCUGGCUUAGUGCUACCUGUAUGAGGUACCCCCUUAUGGUGUUGUAGGUGCCAUUUUUAUUGGCCUGCUGGUACAUAUUCACUUAAUCAUGCAGAGUUAUAGGAAUAUAGGCAAGACUGAAAUAUGUGUUCAUCUGGGAGCCUAUAGACGCUAAACAAUAUUUUAGUGAUGUUGGAUGCUAUCACCUAUAUAGACUUUUUUCCCAUAAUAGUGUGCUUCCAGUUUUUUGGUUCAUGGACGGUCAGAUGGUAUUUCACCUAGCUCUUCCAGUUUGUUGGUUCAUGGACGGCCAGAUGGUAUCUCACCUAGCUGGCCUGCUUUCAAGUAUCAGUUUGCUAAACAGGUAAAUGCUUAUGCUCGCUAGCACUAUAUAAUACAUCAAUUGGUUUCUUAUUGCUGAAAUUUGAAAGACUUGUGAAUUAGAAGAAUAUCUUUUCUAUAGGAUGCCUAUACUUAGAGGCUUAUAAAUCGAGUAUUCUCUAAUGUGGUGCAAAAUUUUGUGUUGUUCUUAUGACCCAUGGUCCUACGUAAAGUAUUCCAAUACAUUUCCACAAAUCAGUACUUUUAUUCUUCACGUAAUACAUGUUCCUGUUCAAUCAAGGAUGGAUUCAAAUGGUGCUGGGACAUGUAAAGAGAAGGAGCUCAUUAUGCAUGGAGACAGGUUUUGAAUUGGGGUGUGAUGCUUCCUACCUGAUGAUGUAGAUGUUAGAUGUGGGAUCUCCGUAUAAGUAGAAUGUCACACAUAUGAAUGUUGUAUCUUGGAUGAUUCGUAGAAAAGAAGCCAACGGGGCACACUUCAUAUCUUGGAUGUAUCUGUUAUACGAAUGUUGUACUUUGUAGGACAAACUAUAACAAAACAAACACAUGCUGAGCCAAUGGGGGCGGCGCGCCGCAGGGCAUGCUUCGGUGGAUCGACUUGAAUAGAUAGCUGGUGAUGAUAUAUCGCUUAGGACCAGCAGCGAUGGUUUGAUUCACAUGUAAAUUUCACUACCACUACAUCAUAGAGACAAAUCCAGCUAGAGAAUCAAUGUUGUCAAAGUAGAGAACACAGUGCUUCACAAUUCCAGUACCCACUAUCAUUACAUGUUGUAAAUUAUACUUAUGCAUGUAUCAACUAGAUGUAUCUUUUCUUAUAUGAACUACUUUGCCACGAAUCAAGUCUUGGACGACUUACCAAAUAUUACAAAGAAAACUAAAUAGCUUAUCAAUCCUUAUGGCGCGGCGUGCCGCCGCGCACUACUUGCUAGUACUUACUAUGUUAGUUUCAUAGAUGACUUUAGUAAGUAUAUUUGGAUCUAUCUUCUUAAAAAACACUCUGAUGUUUUCCAAGUUUUCCAACAUUUUCAAGCACUUGUUGAAAGUCAAUUUGAUAGCAAAAUUCUCAUUGUCCAAUCUGAUUCGGGUGGCGAGUAUGAGGAACUAGACUCUUUCAAAGUAUGGGUGUGUCAAAUCAUGUGUCAUGUCCUUAUGCACACCAACAGAACGGCUCUGCAGAACACAAACAUAGGCACAUUGUUUAGGUGGGCCUAGCUUUACUUGCCGGUGCCUCCUUCCUUUCAAAUUUUGGGAUGAGGCAUUCCUUACCGUAGUCCAUCUGAUUAACAUGCUUCCUAGUCAUGUCAUUCAAAAUGAUACACCCAUGCAUAAACUCUUCAAUAAAUGACCAUAUUAUACCUCUCUUCGUGUCUUCGGUUGCACUUUUUGGCCAAACUUACGCUCUUACAACAACCCAACAACCGCAAGCUCAUGUUCUGCUCCAAACAGUGCGUUUUUCCUGGCUAUAGUGCUAAGCAUGAAGGAGUUAAAUGUCUAGAUGUACCCACUGGCCGUGUAUACAUAUCUCGUGAUGUCGUCUUUGAUGAAACUGUUUUCCCUUUGCUCACCUACAUCCUAAUGCUGGUGCCUUGCUUCGCAAAGAAAUACUCCAAUUACCCUCUCAUUUAACCGGUUUUCAGCCAGGGGAUGACAAUUGUAUUGAUCAUAUCACUAAUGCUUCUAACCGUGGAAAUGCGUCUUCUAGUGCUGCAGGAUCAGAUAUGGAGGCAACAGGCGAAAAUCUGGUGAAAAACAGUGAAGAAAUCGCUCAAAGCAACUUUCAUUUUGUGCCAGCAACGUGACAAC